UCGGAGUUAGUGGCAGACGGGUGAGUAACGCGUGGGAACCUACCUUUAGGUACGGAACAACAGUUGGAAACGACUGCUAAUACCGUAUGUGCCCUAUGGGGGAAAGAUUUAUCGCCUAAGGAUGGGCCCGCGUUGGAUUAGCUAGUUGGUGGGGUAAAGGCCUACCAAGGCGACGAUCCAUAGCUGGUCUGAGAGGAUGAUCAGCCACACUGGGACUGAGACACGGCCCAGACUCCUACGGGAGGCAGCAGUGGGGAAUAUUGGACAAUGGGCGCAAGCCUGAUCCAGCCAUGCCGCGUGAGUGAUGAAGGCCCUAGGGUUGUAAAGCUCUUUCAGCGAGGAGGAUAAUGACGUUACUCGCAGAAGAAGCCCCGGCUAACUUCGUGCCAGCAGCCGCGGUAAUACGAAGGGGGCUAGCGUUGUUCGGAAUCACUGGGCGUAAAGCGCACGUAGGCGGACUUUUAAGUCAGGGGUGAAAUCCCGGGGCUCAACCCCGGAACUGCCUUUGAUACUGGAAGUCUUGAGUCCGAGAGAGGUGAGUGGAACUCCGAGUGUAGAGGUGAAAUUCGUAGAUAUUCGGAAGAACACCAGUGGCGAAGGCGGCUCACUGGCUCGGUACUGACGCUGAGGUGCGAAAGCGUGGGGAGCAA
rnacentral:rRNA from 1 species